rnacentral:rRNA from 1 species
CACGUAGGGUGCGAGCGUUGUCCGGAAUUAUUGGGCGUAAAGAGCUCGUAGGCGGUGUGUCGCGUCGGCCGUGAAAACCUGCAGCUUAACUGUGGGCUUGCGGUCGAUACGGGCAUCACUGGAGUUCGGCAGGGGAGACUGGAAUUCCUGGUGUAGCGGUGAAAUGCGCAGAUAUCGGGAGGAACACCGGUGGCGAAGGCGGUUCUCUGGGCCUUACCUGACGCUGAGGAGCGAAAGCGU